rnacentral:rRNA from 1 species
UACGGAGGGGGCGAGCGUUGUCCGGAGUUACUGGGCGUAAAGCGCUUGUAGGCGGUCCACCAAGUUUGGGGUGACAGUUGCCGACUUAAUCGGCAAAGUGCCUCAAAGACUGGCGGACUUGAGGGCCACAGAGGGACAUGGAACUCCAGGUGUAGUGGUGAAAUGCGUAGAUAUCGGGAGGAACACCAGUGGCGAAGGCGGCCUUCUGGACCAGUACUGACGCUCAUGCACGAAAGCGUGGGGAGCAAACAGG